rnacentral:rRNA from 1 species
AGGUAGUUUGACGUCCUGGACUCAGGACGAACGCUGGCGGCGUGCUUAACACAUGCAAGUCGAACGGAAAGGCCCUGCUUUUGUGGGUGCUCGAGUGGCGAACGGGUGAGUAACACGUGAGUAACCUGCCCUUGACUUUGGGGAUAACUUCAGGAAACUGGGGCUAAUACCGGAUAGGAGCUCCUGCUGCAUGGUGGGGGUUGGAAAGUUUCGGCGGUUGGGGGAUGGACUCGCGGCUUAUCAGCUUGUUGUGGGGGUAGUGGCUUACCAAGGGCUUUGACGGGUAGCCGGCCUGAGAGGGUGACCGGCCACAUUGGGACUGAGAUACGGCCCAGACUCCUACGGGAGGCAGCAGUGGGGAAUAUUGCACAAUGGGCGGAAGCCUGAUGCAGCAACGCCUCGUGCGGGAUGACGGCCUUCGGGUUGUAAACCGCUUUCGCCUGUGACGAAGCGUGAGUGACGGUAAUGGGUAAAGAAGCACCGGCUAACUACGUG